rnacentral:tRNA from 1 species
UAGCCCCUUCGUCUAGCGGCAAGGACAUCAGGCUCUGGACCUGAGGACAUCGGUUCGAAUCCGGUAGGGGCUAA